rnacentral:rRNA from 1 species
UACGUAGGGCGCAAGCGUUGUCCGGAAUUAUUGGGCGUAAAGAGCUCGUAGGCGGUUUGUCGCGUCUGCUGUGAAAACCUAAGGCUCAACCUUGGGCUUGCAGUGGGUACGGGCAGACUAGAGUGCGGUAGGGGUGACUGGAAUUCCUGGUGUAGCGGUGAAAUGCGCAGAUAUCAGGAAGAACACCAAUGGCGAAGGCAGCUCUCUGGGACGGUACUGACACUGAGACGCGAAAGCGUGGGGAGCGAACAGG